rnacentral:sRNA from 1 species
AAGAUGUGAGUUCUCAUGCCGCUCGUGAUGAUUCU